rnacentral:RNase_P_RNA from 1 species
GCCGGAUAAUCGCGCUCAUAAGAGUGAGGAAAGUCCGUGCAUCCAAGGACAGACCUCCGGAGAAAUUCCGGACGGCGUGAGCCGGUGGAAAGUGGGACAGAAAUGGGGGUAAAUAUCUUUACGGAUUAUAGCCCCGCCAAAAUGCUAACAGCAUUUUGUUUGACUGCCGAUGGAUUUUAUAUCACAGGCGAUGGUGCAACGGUGAGGUAAGAGCAUCACCAGCAAUACCGGAAGGUAUUGGCUACCUAAACCCAGGUCGGAUGCAAGAUUGAAACAAGCGUUUGAGGUGUCCGCCGAGCUUGAAAAAUCGCUAGAGCUUGGGAGUAAUUCCAAGACCAGACAGAUGAUUAUACAAAAACAGAACACGGCUUAUGAGCUGCUUU